rnacentral:rRNA from 1 species
AACGGCCAUACCAUGCUGAAUAUACCGGUUCUCGUUAGAUCACCGAAGUCAAGCAUCAUUGGGCGCGGUCAGUACUAGGAUGGGUGACCACCUGGGAACACCGCGUGCCGUU